GCAAGUCGAACGAUGAACCUAGCUUGCUAGGGGAUUAGUGGCGCACGGGUGAGUAACAUAUAGAUAACGUGCCUCUUAGUCUGGGAUAGCCAUUGGAAACGAUGAUUAAUACUAGAUACUCCUUCUAACUAUAAUGUUAGUCGGGAAAGUUUUUCGCUAAGAGAUCGGUCUAUAUCCCAUCAGCUUGUUGGUAGUGUAAGAGACUACCAAGGCAAUGACGGGUAGCGGGUUUGAGAGGAUGAUC
rnacentral:rRNA from 1 species